ACGAACGCUGGCGGCGCGCCUAACACAUGCAAGUCGAACGGAGCUGAGAGAAGCUUGCUUUUCUUAGCUUAGUGGCGAACGGGUGAGUAACGCGUGAGUAACCUGCCCUGGAGUGGGGGACAACAGUUGGAAACGACUGCUAAUACCGCAUAAGCCCACGAUCCGGCAUCGGAUUGAGGGAAAAGGAUUUAUUCGCUUCAGGAUGGACUCGCGUCCAAUUAGCUAGUUGGUGAGGUAACGGCCCACCAAGGCGACGAUUGGUAGCCGGACUGAGAGGUUGAACGGCCACGUUGGGACUGAGACACGGCCCAGACUCCUACGGGAGGCAGCAGUGGGGGAUAUUGCACAAUGGGGGAAACCCUGAUGCAGCGACGCCGCGUGGAGGAAGAAGGUUUUCGGAUUGUAAACUCCUGUCGUUAGGAACGAUAAUGACGGUACCUAACAAGAAAGCACCGGCUAACUACGUG
rnacentral:rRNA from 1 species